rnacentral:tRNA from 1 species
GGGGAUAUAGCUUAAUGGUAGAACUUGUGGUUAGCAUGCACAAGACCCUAGGUUUGAUCCCUAGUAUUUGUG